GCAGCUGCCCUCACCGCCCGCCUUCGCCGCUCCUCCGGCGCCCGCCGUCCCCCGCCGCUUUCUUUCCCGACAGCCCCCUCGCCCCCCGAUCUAGGCCGGGGACCGUCACCGGCGUCUCCUUUCCCUUGCCGAAGGGGAAGCCGGGGCGGAUUCUCUGUUCCUACUCCGACGAGAUCUCCACUGUCGAGAGGAUCAAGAAGACUAACGAUGCCGUGGAGUCUGAGACGGCGGAGGAGGCUCCGGUUUCUGAGGCGAUCGGGGAUGAA
rnacentral:misc_RNA from 1 species